UCUUAUUCCCCUCCAAAUGACUUUUUUAACUUAGGUGUUGUUUCUAUAAGUCCAUGUAGAAAUGAGUCCUCUCUUAAAAAUAUAUUUUUUGAGAUGGAUUUUCUGACCUGAUUUUUAAUACAUAAUUUCUAAUAUGGUAAUUAUGAAUAUAAAAAAAUAAAUAUAUUUUAAAAAUUAAAAUAAUAAUUUUAUGAAAAAAUAUUUGGACCAUUAAAUUUAACUGUUUUUUUAUGAACCACCCAUUUACGAUGGAUGCUUUACACCUUGUGAGACGCAAAAUGUUGAAAUGCAUCCCCCCC
rnacentral:lncRNA from 1 species